CACUAGAGAGGCUUUUGCAAACUUUAUCAGAUUUUUUCAGCUACAUUUGUUAGUUGCGGUGUUGUACACGAACGUCUGCCGCUUCUUCCUCUUCUUUUGCCAAAAUUAUUUUUACCUUUUGUUUUCUCAGAAUUUUUUAUUUGUUAAGGGGGCACGAGGGUUGUAAAGGGAGAUCUCCUUCGAUUUAUUUCAAAACGGCAGGUUCACUUUGGGUACCAAAUGUUUGCCGUGCGUAUCUCCUAUGUGGCUGUUCUCCAGCAGGUUGCCUAUUGUUGCUCUCUUCCUUACAUAUCUGGUAUACAUGAGAUUCUUCAAGAUGGUGCCUCCUUAUAUGGGAUUGAGGUUGAGUUGCCUGGUUUAUGUUGCCGGUUCAAUUCACGAACACUUUUUUUUUGGGCAAGCUCUGGUAUGGAACGUUCUGCGGCUUAUGAAGCAGCUGCUUUGCAAGCACUACUGGUCUUACAAGAUAUAUUUGGUUUUGUCAUUUUGGACUACAGUGUUCAUGGACUGAUAUUAUACAGAAGUCUAGCCCAAUCCCUUCUUCCUGUAGCUAAUAGAGGCGUUCAGUUAGCCAGGUUUGUAAUCAAUAGUUCUCUUGAAGGAGUUUCAUAUGAUCCGUCCUUGCUAAGUUUGGCACAGCAGUUGGUGCAUGACCUCAGUGCUAUGCCUACUGCUGCUUGCAAUUUGUAUCCUGGCUAUUUGUAGCAAUGAAAUGUUUCUAUGUUUCGUGUUUUUCGUACAGAAUGUAAUCCGCUAAAUUUUCAGUCAUGUUGAUAUUUUACAUAUUCGGAGUUUGUUACAUUCAGCUUACCUGUUUGGUUCCUGCUUUUGGAGCCAUACAGUACUCCGUAACUACAUAUAUGUAAAUAUGUGGUUUAGGUUCUUCUGUAAUGUAUACAACGAUUGUAUCAAGGAACGUGGUCAAAAAAGAUUUCUCUUUUACAGUUGCUGUCCGUUUUGAACGAUCUUCUCAGUUUGUCUUCUUCUUUUGGGUUUUCACAAGAACCUCUAUAGUUUUACGUUAUCAUUGGUCUUUAAAAAAACUCUUGUACUUUGAUUUUUGUUUUAAAAUGUGUGUAUAGCCUGUUCAGUUCCAUGGUGCCGCUUGCUGCUGACUUUCUAGGAUCAAAUGGAUGAUCAACAGUUAUGUAUGUAUCAUUUAGACUAAUCGUGGUAGUGUAUAUUGCUUUUCUUUGUGCCUUGUUAUGUGUCUGUAUAUUAACUGUAUAUAUUUAAAUCUGGCAGUUUCCGCAUCGGUGUCUGAUCCCACCUUUGCGCCAGACUAUUCAACCUUACACCGCGCAGGAGAUUGUAUGUAUUCUCCCGCGGCUAUUAUAUUAUGUAUUUUUCCUUCCUAUGUUUUUUGUGCCAAUAUUGACCAUGUCCUCACCAACUGUCGACCUCAGCGUUGCUGAAUAUAGAUACCACUGUCCCAGUUGCUGCAACACUGUCACGUGUACGAAACAGUACGUGCCUCCUGCUGGAUAAUGAGUCUUCCUUUCCUUGUUUUUUGUAUUCUUAAGGUCUGGUUAUACCAUGUCCAUUGUUGUCUUAACAACAGGGCCCCAUAAUGUGGCACCACAUUCUGAUCCCACAACUUCUAGACAAAAAAGAAGAAGACUCUUAGAUCAACAUCGCUUGGUCUGGGCAGGUAACAUUGCUGGUUAUCUGCGUCCUUUCAAAACCUACACACACUAUAACCUGUUCAUCCUAUGGUACACAUUUGUCUCUGUGUGCCGUAAUAGUUAAGUCCUAAAAAAUGUUUUCCAAAUUACAAUAGGAGGCCCCUGGCAUGGUACUGAUCAUCUCACGUGUGGUCAAUUUGACGAAGCCUUUAUCGAUGCUCUUAAAGGUAUAUGUUUCAGCACUUUCUCAGCCUUUUUGACCUUUUUCCAUAGUCUCGCAGUUCCCAUGGUAUUCCUGUUUUCUUAGUGAUUUCAUUUGCUUCAGUCAUAUGACGGCCUGUCUUUCCCUAUUUUGUUCUCUAUUCUUCACAAACAGUAUCCUAUCGAGAAAGAUCCUACUAUGGUCGGCCAGAUUAUGAGUGCCCGCAUUGUCAAGCAGUAUUUUGGCACGCCGAAAGAAUUGGUCGUGAUUCAAGCCAACGUUCUGGUAGAAUAGUGUACAACAACUGUUGUAGAGGUGGCAAAGUUGUUAUACCGCGUUUUUUGGCACGGCCAGAGCCGUUGGCUUCAUUAGCAACGUUUGAUGGGGACUCUACAUCCAAAAAGUUCAUGAAGAACAUAAGGCAGUACAAUUGUCUUUUUUCAUUCACAUCAAUGGGGGCCAACAUUGAUCGGACAAUGAAUGAUGGCCGUGGGCCUCCUGUUUUUAAGAUUUGUGGCCAAGUUCAUCACCGGAUUGGCUCCCUACUUCCUCAAGAUGGAUCUCCUCCUAAAUUUAUUCAGCUAUAUGUAUAUGAUACAUCUAAUGAGGUUCAAAAUAGAAUGCGUUCAUUAUCACAUGAUGAUGUAAGGGCUUCUGAUCUAGAUUCUUCUAUAGUUCAGUCGUUGAUAUCCAUGCUUGAUGAUUGUAAUCCAUUGGCAAGGCAAUUUAGAAUGGCCAGGGAAAGGUUAGCCGAUCAUGAUGAUGAUGACCAAUUUGUGGUUCGAAUUGUUGCGCCUAGAGAUGGGGAUCCUCCUUAGUAUAGCUUACCAACGGUUGAUCAGUUAGCUAUGCUUGUCGUUGGUGAUUUUACUCCAGACGCUUUUGAGCGUGACAUUAUUAUUGAAACACAGUCAAAUGAGUUGAAGCAAAUAUCAGCUCUUCAUCCUGCCUUUAUGGCUCUUCAGUAUCCAUUACUGUUCCCAUUUGGUGAGCGUGGGUUCCAGCCUGGGGUUUUGUAUGCAGGUGCAAGAGCAAGUCAACGAAAUUCAUACACAAAGGUUACCAUGCAAGAUUAUUUUUGCUACAUGUUCCAUUAUAGAAAAAACCAACCAAAUCCUUAUCUCUCCUAUGGUGCCCUGUCUAGCCAGCCAAAGGUGGAUGCUCGUGCCUGUGUUGAUGAAAAUAGACUAUGGUAUAUAAUGAAAAACCAGAAAGACAUUCGGAUGGAAAGUAUCCAGGGUAUUUGUGAUGCUAUUAGCAGAGGCUGCACCGAGGGUGCUGAGAUGGGGAAAAUGACGGUAUUACCAGCAUCACAUACAGGAGGUCGACGUUAUAUGAUACAGAACUAUCAUGAUGGGAUUGCCAUUUGUCGAGAAUAUGGUCCUCCUGAUUACUUUGUGACUUUCACAUGUAAUCCUAAGUGGUUGGAGAUCAGUGAGGCUAUGUUUGAGAUUGGUCAAAAACCAAAUGAUAGGGCUGAUAUCAUUGUUAGAGUCUUCAAUAUGAAACUAGAAGAACUUUUGCAUGAUAUAAAAAGUGGUCGUGCUUUUGGACCAUGCAACGCAGGUGCUGUUCUUAUCUAAUCUGCUAUGUCACUUACACAUUAAUAGAAACCGCUGCUAGGUCCAGUUGAUUACAUUAUCUGUACAAAUAUACUCCAUUGACCUGCCCUAGGUUUCUCAUAGUCCUCAUUACUAAGUUACGAUGGUUUCACUUAAUUCCAAUAGACUUAUCCAUCUGAGCUCAUGUUCUUCGACUUGCAGUUUUGCACACUGUCGAAUUUCAGAAACGGGGUCUCCCGCAUGCACAUAUUAUCUUAUGGACCACAGCGGACACAUCAGAUCCAACACCUACAAUGAUUGAUUCUUAUGUGAGUGCUGAAAUACCAGAUCCAAAAGACGAUCCACUUGGUUAUGCUCUUGUUGCCGAACACAUGAUUCACGGACCUUGUGGUUCACAAAAUCCAGCCUGCCCUUGCAUGAAAGAUGGCAGAUGUUCCAAACAUUUUCCAAAACCAUACCAUGAAGAAACUUCAGUGAAUUCUAAUGGGUUUGCCAUGUACAAACGCCGUGAAAAUGCUCUUUAUAUAAACAAAGGCGGUGUACAUAUGGACAAUAGAUGGGUUGUUCCAUAUAAUAUGACUCUUCUUAAGAAAUAUCAGGCUCAUAUAAAUGUUGAGUGGUGCAACAAGAGCACUUUCAUUAAAUAUUUGUUCAAGUAUGUAACAAAGGGUGCUGAUUGUAGUAAGGUAUAUCUUGAAAGAAUAAGAAGAGCAGAGUCUGCUCCUUAUGAUAGAGAUACAGACACAGUUAAUGAGGUUAGGGAGUAUCUUGAUUGUCGCUACAUUUGUGAGCAGGAUGCGUGUUGGCGAAUAUUUGGCUAUGAUAUUCAUAGACACUAUCCAGCGGUAGAAAGAAUGCCUGUGCAUUUACCUAAUGAGAAUUUUAUUACCUUUAGUGCUAGAAGUAGAAUGGACAGAGUUGUUUCCGAAGAAUUUCUAAGGAAAACCAUGCUGACAGAAUGGUUUAUAUGCAAUCAGCAAAACCCUGAUGCUCGGAACCUUACAUAUCCACAGUUUCCUUCAAGAUGGAAAUGGGAACAUAAAGAUCG
rnacentral:lncRNA from 1 species